rnacentral:rRNA from 1 species
AUGGCUGGGUGUAACUUUUGUAGAAAUCGAGUUGCAUACCACAUCAUAAUUUGGGCUGGCUUCGAUAUUUGUUGUGCUCUGAGUCUGAACAUCUCGUGUCAGAGUCUGUUGGCUUCAAUUGUCCUGGUGGUGGCAAGUCAUGGCAUCGUAGAGCUGGUUGGCUUCAGUUUUCUUGGUGUGGCGCAGAGUCGUGAGUUUGCUGGGUAUCUUAGAUUUCCAUGGUGGGCGAUGGCUGGGUGUAACUUCUGUAGAAAUCGAGUUGCAUACCACUUCAUAAUUUGGGCUGGCUUCGAUAUUUGCUAUGCGCCGAGUCUGAACAUCUCACGUCAGAGUCUGUUGGCUUAA